rnacentral:rRNA from 1 species
AGCGGCAGGCCUAAUACAUGCAAGUCGAACGAGAUUUAUGACUUCGGUUAUAAUGAAAGUGGCGCACGGGUGCGUAACGCGUAUGCAACCUACCCUUAACUGGGGGAUAGCCCGGAGAAAUUCGGAUUAAUACCCCAUAGUAUUACAGAUUGGCAUCAUGAAGUAAUUAAAGAUUUAUUGGUUAAGGAUGGGCAUGCGUGACAUUAGCUAGUUGGUAAGGUAAUGGCUUACCAAGGCAACGAUGUCUAGGGGUUCUGAGAGGAUGAUCCCCCACACUGGUACUGAGAUACGGACCAGACUCCUACGGGAGGCAGCAGUAGGGAAUAUUGGUCAAUGGGCGAGAGCCUGAACCAGCCAUGCCGCGUGUAGGAAGACGGCUUUCUGAGUUGUAAACUACUUUUAUAUGGGAAGAAAAAGGCCAUGCGUGGCAAAUUGCCGGUACCAUAUGAAUAAGCACCGGCUAACUCCGUGCCAGCAGCCGCGGUAAUACGGAGGGUGCAAGCGUUGUCCGGAUUUAUUGGGUUUAAAGGGUGCGUAGGCGGGUCUUUAAGUCAGUGGUGAAAGCCUGCAGCUUAACUGUAGAACUGCCAUUGAUACUGGAGACCUUGAGUAUACUAGAGGUAGGCGGAAUUUAUGGUGUAGCGGUGAAAUGCAUAGAUACCAUAAAGAACACCGAUAGCGUAGGCAGCUUACUGGAGUAUAACUGACGCUGAUGCACGAAAGCAUGGGUAGCGAACAGGAUUAGAUACCCUGGUAGUCCAUGCCGUAAACGAUGAUUACUC